rnacentral:rRNA from 1 species
CUACGGGUGGCUGCAGUGAGGAAUAUUGCACAAUGGGGGGAACCCUGAUGCAGCAACGCCGCGUGGAGGAUGACGCAUUUCGGUGUGUACACUCCUUUUAUAUGUCAAGAAAAUGACGGUAGCAUAUGAAUAAGCACCGGCUAACUCCGUGCCAGCAGCCGCGGUAAUAAGGAGGGUGCAAGCGUUACUCGGAAUCACUGGGCGUAAAGGACGCGUAGGCGGGUUGGAAAGUCAGGUGUGAAAUCCUACAGCUUAACUGUAGAACGGCACUUGAAACUUCUAAUCUAGAGUAUGGGAGGGGGAGAUGGAAUUAGUGGUGUAGGGGUAAAAUCCGUAGAUAUCACUAGGAAUACCUAAAGCGAAGGCGAUCUCCUGGAACAUUACUGACGCUAAGGCGUGAAAGCGUGGGGAGCAAACAGGAUUAGAUACCCCCGUAGUC